GGUGUGGUAGUUCAGUUGGUUAGAAUACCGGCCUGUCACGCCGGGGGUCACGGGUUCAAGUCCCGUCCGCACCGCAA
rnacentral:tRNA from 2 species